CCGAGCGGUAUUGUUUCUUCGGAAUGAGAGAGCGGCGUACGGGUGCGGAACACGUGUGCAACCUGCCUUUAUCUGGGGGAUAGCCUUUCGAAAGGAAGAUUAAUACCCCAUAAUAUAAGAGACGGCAUCGUUUUUUAUUGAAAACUCCGGUGGAUAGAGAUGGGCACGCGCAAGAUUAGAUAGUUGGUGAGGUAACGGCUCACCAAGUCUACGAUCUUUAGGGGGCCUGAGAGGGUGAUCCCCCACACUGGUACUGAGACACGGACCAGACUCCUACGGGAGGCAGCAGUGAGGAAUAUUGGACAAUGGGUGAGAGCCUGAUCCAGCCAUCCCGCGUGAAGGACGACGGCCCUAUGGGUUGUAAACUUCUUUUGUAUAGGGAUAAACCUACUCUCGUGAGAGUAGCUGAAGGUACUAUACGAAUAAGCACCGGCUAACUCCGUGCCAGCAGCCGCGGUAAUACGGAGGGUGCAAGCGUUAUCCGGAUUUAUUGGGUUUAAAGGGUCCGUAGGCGGAUCUGUAAGUCAGUGGUGAAAUCUCACAGCUUAACUGUGAAACUGCCAUUGAUACUGCAGGUCUUGAGUGUUGUUGAAGUAGCUGGAAUAAGUAGUGUAGCGGUGAAAUGCAUAGAUAUUACUUAGAACACCAAUUGCGAAGGCAGGUUACUAAGCAACAACUGACGCUGAUGGACGAAAGCGUGGGGGAAGCGAACAGGAUUAGAUACCCUGGGUAGUCCACGCCCG
rnacentral:rRNA from 1 species